rnacentral:rRNA from 1 species
AGAAUCAACGCUGGCGGCGUGCCUAACACAUGCAAGUCGAACGAGAAAGUGGAGCAAUCCAUGAGUAAAGUGGCGACCGGGUGAGUAACACGUGACUAACCUACCUUCGAGUGGGGGAUAACCUCGGGAAACCGAGGCUAAUACCGCAUAACAUCGCAAGAUCAAAGCAGCAAUGCGCUGGAAGAGGGGGUCGCGGCUGAUUAGCUAGUUGGCGGGUAACGCCACAAGGCGAAGAUCGGUA